UACGGGGGGAGCAAGCGUUGUUCGGAUUUACUGGGCGUAAAGGGCGCGUAGGCGGCCACCGCAAGUCGGUUGUGAAAUCUCUGGGCUUAACCCAGAAAGGUCAACCGAUACUGCGGGGCUAGAGUGCAGAAGGGGCAACUGGAAUUCUCGGUGUAGCGGUGAAAUGCGUAGAUAUCGAGAGGAACACCCGUGGCGAAGGCGACUCGCUGGCCAGGUUACUGACGCUGAGACGCGAAAGCGUGGGGAGCGAACGGG
rnacentral:rRNA from 1 species